GACGAACGCUGGCGGCGCGCCUAACACAUGCAAGUCGAACGGAGUCAAGAGGAGCUUGCUUUUCUUGACUUAGUGGCGAACGGGUGAGUAACGCGUGAGUAACCUGCCCUGGAGUGGGGGACAACAGUUGGAAACGACUGCUAAUACCGCAUAAGCCCACGGAUCCGCAUGGAUCUGCGGGAAAAGGAUUUAUUCGCUUCAGGAUGGACUCGCGUCCAAUUAGCUAGUUGGUGAGGUAACGGCCCACCAAGGCGACGAUUGGUAGCCGGACUGAGAGGUUGACCGGCCACCUGGGGAAUGGACCAGGCCCCAGCCUCCCGCGGGGGGCAGCAGUGGGGGAAAGUGACACAGGGGGGAAACCCGAAGCCAGCGGCGCCGGGUGGAGGAAGAAGGUUUGCGAAGUAAAACCCCCUUUCGUAAGGACAGAUAGGGGCGGUACCAAAAAAAAAACCCCCGGCUAAACACG
rnacentral:rRNA from 1 species